AACGUCUUUCCAUUACAACCAUCCAUCCACACCAUGGAUAAGACCAAUGACCUCUUAAAGGAUGUCACAGAGAAGUCUGUAGGCUUGGGAGAAAGUGCUGUGGUCAGGUGGAACCAGAAUCUAUCUCUUUAGUGUCAACUUGACCCACUGUGGAGAAAGAGACGCGAGUGCAUGACCCAAAGAAAAUCACCCCACAGCCAAGCACGAAGCAAUGGAAGGCUUAUCAGGCUAUAGAUGACAAACCAGGCUGCAGAAGCAGCAACGCCUCUGUAUGAGCGGACUGUAACACCAUGACAUCAACAACACUGGACAUAAAACCUGCUUUCAUUCUGUCCUGUACUGUCAUCAAUAGAAAAGUUAGGAAAAUAUAACAUUUGAAGAUAAUGUCAGAAAAUAACAUGAAAGUGUCCUAUUAUUACUACUGUUUAUAUGGCCAUUAUUAGGGGUGAUCUGAUGAAAAAAGGGUCUAAACUUGCCUAUGCUAACAACACCGUUGUUAUAAUGACAAAAACACAUCGCAACAUCUUAUUGUUCUAGGUAGCUAUCUAGGUGUUCUUAUGCUAUCUAGUUAGCAAUGCUACACACCUGUUACUACUGCACACUCCACGGAGGCCCAGAGUUACUGUUCAUACCAUAAUUAUCUGGAAGUUAACUGUUGCCCUGAGAUUUUACAUAAGACCAAAGAUAAUAUAAAAAUGAAGUUUUAAACAGUUUUAGAUCAGUUACACUCACAGAGCACUCUCAUACCUGGUAACAUGGAAACUUUAAAUAAAACGUUAGAUUUAAAGCACAGCAGCAGAAAGCGGUGUCAUUUUUCUAUUUAUUUAUUAGAAUCAUCAACAGAUACAUUCACCCUGGGGGAAAACCAGUGACCAGCAGGACCACAGCUGUCCUUUGCCAGAUGUUCUGUUUAACUACUGAGAAAGACGUCAUUUCAGAAACAUCAGGAAGACUGAAGCUCAUCGCAGGGAUCAAGCAGGACUCACACUGUUUACCAGCAGCCCCCUCAGAGGGAAAUCUUCAGACCUCCACCUUAAGCCCUUCCCAGAAAAUGUACAAACCCAGCACUUCAUGAACGGUGUGUUAGCAACAUUUGCUUUGUGUGCUGUUAGAAGUACUGCACAUCAUCCUCAUAUAAAGAGGCUCUGGACUCACAUGAUCAGGUUAUAUUCAGACCUGUAGAAAGUUAUAUAUUUAAAAUAUAUAAUCCUCUCUGAUUAUUCUGGUAUGAAUGACUCAAUUACAAAUAACACACACAGUGUCAAAGGACUGCAGAUUAAUCUUUCAGUUCAAUAUAGAAGUGACGACCUUUGACCUUCAUCAGGUUGUAUUUAAUGCUGUCAGAGGAAAUCUCACGUCCUCGUCAUGCAGCUGACUACAGUCAGUCUUUUAAACAGAAGCUGUGCAGGUUUGAGAUCAGCAGCUUUCUGAAACACCAAACUGAGGUACUGUUUGUGCUGAUACAUAGCAUGGAUGAUUAAUCCCUUUGACUUUUUGUCUUAAACUUUAUCAAUAAAACAGCUGCAGAUUUCACUGAAAGCACACAAUAUGGUGCUUUAGCCUUUGUACUUUUUUCAA